UGUUUAAAAGAGACAAAGCGAAGCUGAGACUCAGGAAGCGCCCAGAGGCAGGUUGGCCGUCGGUCUUACAGAGGUUCGACAGGGAGUGUUUUUAGUCAUUUCCAAAAUUCAAACUUUUUUGUUUUGUUAAAUGAUUGUGCCAGGAAUGCUUUAUUCAUAAUGUUCCUUUGGGGUGUUUUUAAGCAAUCUUACAUACAGGAUGCCAGUUGGAUAUUUGUCACGCUCAAAAAAAUCUUGGAAAGAAAAUAAACCCCACACCCCACCGGUGUCUGUCAUCUCUAUCUCUGUUUCCGCAUAUCUUGGCGCUCUCCAUUCCUGUUGUUUUGACAGGCAUCUUUGUUACUUUAAAUUAUAGCUGCUGUUCUCCUGAAGUUCAUUUGCUUUCUGUCACCUGUCAAUCAUUUUUCAAUCUCUGAGGAGUCAUUCAGUUAAAUUACAAUGCAGCAAACGCAAUAAAACCCAGCGGGGCAGCUGUCUGCAGGGUCGGUGUAGAGUUGUCAACCCUGUAACCUCUGCACUGUGAACGGAGCCUCACUUCCUGUGCUAUUGUCAGCAGACAAUGCAUCUAGGAAAGAAAGCAAGACUGUAGGAUGAGUUCACUGAUGGCAAGCCAAGUUUGUCUUUGUCUCAGUGUCUGGCAUCUGUCCAUGUCGGACUUGUGAUGGUGAAAGAGCCGUCCUUUUCCUUGCUUCCGUUUCCAUCCAAUCAGCAAGUCUUUGCCGGUCUCUCUGGCCUCCAGGCACAUCUGCCCUCAAAGACACUUCAAUCCCUUGAUGCAGCAGUCAGCAUGUGUGUGUCCCCAGUACUCCAUCAAACGGCUCGUUUCUGCCCCGAGAGCACUGAUGGCUGCUUCCACGGUGCACAGACUAUUAAUUUGCACCAAAUACAUGCAGAAUCUGCUGAGAAACAGACUGAAUGUACUUGAGUGAGUGCAUCUGCUGCAAAAAAAGGCAGACAUAUGCCCUCCUGAGAGUUGUGGACUGUGCCUGGAUGUGUGGAGUACCGGAGCUGAUCAGACUGUGUCAGAGACCUGCUGAGAAAUAGAUUACAGUCAGACCAAAGGAACCCAAAGCCUGGUAGCAAACCAUAGCACAGCAGGUCCCGACAGUGCUGGGAGGGCAACCUCAGCAUAUGAAGGUUGGGACUCUUCGAUUGGUGAGAAGAGAAGGAGGCAACCCUCGAGGGCGAGAGGUGCACUGUCCACUUACAAGUCACUCGACCAGGAAUCCAACACAAGCUUCCUGUAAGGCGCAUCAAGAUCAAGUGAACAAAGGCAAAUAUGCAAGAGGACUGAUGCACCAAAUGACUACCUCCUGUAUUGGUAUUCCAUAAAAAUGGAGGGCCCAGCAGGAGGUCGACCGAGCUAUUAACAGGUUAAAACACAAGGAGGUCAUGGGAAGAAUCCAACACAACUGAACAGAGUUGGGCUGGGGAGAGCCAGUCCAGUUCUGGGCCACAGCCACAUGGGAGCAGAGUAAGACCAUGGUGGUGGUAGAGUUCUGGCGCACUAUGGCUGCUGUCGCAUCAUCCAGGUGGAUGCUGCACACUGGUGGUGGAUGAGGAGAUACCCCCUGACUAUGUAAAGCACUUUGAGUGCCUAGAAAAGUGCUAUAUAAAUGCAAUGAACUAUUAUUAUUAAUUAAAAGAAGAAUUUAAAAAUCCAAUUGCUUGGGGGAUAAAGGAUAGUUUGGACCUGUUCUUAGUGCAUUGAGGAAUACAAUAUCUUCUGCCAGAUGGUAAUAAUUCAAAUGCAUCUGAAAGGGGAUGCCUCUUAUCAUUCACAAUGAUAUUAGCUUUACUCAGCACACUCUCUUUAUAUAUACUCUGUAUACUUGGUAACUUAGUUCCCAACAUUUUGCUUAUCAUAGUUAUUACAUUCCUCAACAAUUUCUUCUGAGCCUCUGAAGCUUUUCCAUGCCAGCAGCUCACACAGAAAGUCAUAGUGCUUUCUAAGCCCCAUAAAACAUCAAAAGCAAUCUGCUAUGGACGUUAAAAGAGAUUAAUUUCUUAAAGAAAUACAACCUUUGUUGUAUCUUCUUACUAAAAAGUCAGUCCAUACAUCCCAUUUAAGCUUAUGAUAGAAGACUAUACCAAGAUAUUUAUAAUGUGUUACUACUUGCAUUUGUUCCCCAUUAAUUAGUGUAGAGUGGGUUGUAUCCUUUUCUUUCAUUCUAAAAUCAAUAACCAUCUCCUUAGUUUUGGAGGCAUUUAAGAGGAGAUUUGAUUUCUCACACCAGUUCAGAAAGAAAUGCAGAACAGGGCCAUGCUCUUCCUCUCCAUCAUGUAAAAAGCUCACUAUGGCAGUAUCAUCUGCAUACUUAAUAAUGAAUCUGUUUUUAAAAGCACUAGCACAGGAGUUUGUGUAUAAAAUAUAUAAUAAUCGAGCUAAGACACAUCCCUGAGGUGAUCUGAUCGAAGUAAUCAUUUUAUCUAAGACAGACCCUCCUAACUUAACCUGCUGACUUCUACAACUAAGAAAAUCAGUCACCCACAUUAGCAUCCUAUUAUCUAAUGAUAAUUAUUUUGCCAGUGUGUCUAUUAUUGUUCUUGGAGAGUUAAAAACUGAUGAGAAAUCCACAAAUACAAUUUUAGCAUGAUUUUUUGGUUUUUCUAAGUGCAAGUGCAACAGAUGUAGUACAGUUAAGAUUGCAUCCUCUACUCCCCUAGAGGUUUGAUAUGCAAAUUGCAGAUGAUCUAUAAGAUGCUUUUUUCAGAUACAAUGUGCUUUUUUACUAAAUGCUUAAAUGAUGUCAUCACUAGAGAUGUGAGUGCUAUUGGUCGAAAAUCAUUUAAUAUUAAUGGUCUAGAACUUUUGGCACUGGUACUAUUGUUGAUGUUUUCCAUAUAACAGGGACAAUUCCAGUAUUAUAUGAAGCUCUAAAGAUAUCAGUAAAAACUGGUGCUAACUGGGCCGCUCAAUGUUUUUAAACAUUAUCACAUAUCUUAUCUGGCUGGACCUGGCCUUUUCCGAGGAUUACAUUUCUUAAAAAUUUGACUAACCUCUAUUUCAUUGAUUUAGUCAAAUAUGGUGGUAGAAACACUGGAAUAGCAUUACUUUCUCCCUUAUCAAAAUGACAGAAAUGUAAGUUAAGCUGAUUAGCCAUCUCUAGCUCCUCACAUUUUCCUAACAACAGAGGCUGUUUGCCUCUUUCCUUAUUAGGGAUGUUUGUCAUAUUCUUAAUCCCCUGAAAGGCAUAUCGUGAGUUACCACAUGGCAGGGAUGCUUCUAUUUUUUGUCUAUAGGUAUUCUUAUCUAUUUGUAUUUGUCUUUUAAUCUGCUUCUGUAUAUGUCUCUGAGUUAUCACAUCCUUAUUUUUAAAUGCCUUCCUUUUCUUAUUAAUAAGUUUCUUUAAUUCUUUAGACACCCAAGGUUUAUCACUGGGGUAGACUGUAAAAGUCUUAGUAGGUACAGUAUAAUAUUAUCUACACAGUAGUUUAUGUACCCAUUAACUGUUUCAACACACUCAUUGAUGUCACCACUAUCAGACACCUCCCACUGGGUACUUUCAAAGCACCCCUUUAAAAUCAUUGUAUAAUCAUUAUCCCACACUUUAACACAUUUUUUUUUCUGGGGUUUCUCCUUUCCAAGUAACCUAUACGAAGAUAUCGAAGAUAUACAACACUAUGGUCAUACACCCCCAAUGGUGGGAGGAUAGAUGAUGUAUAAGUAUCUUUAACAGUUCCAUAGCACAUAUCUAAAGUCUUGUUUUUCCUUGUCGGACAAUCAACAUAUUGAUAGUAUGUGCGCAGACUCUUCUUAAUGUUGCAAUUAUUAAAAUCACCCAAAAUAAACUUAGGAGCAUCAGGAGAAAUUGACUCAAGUCUCUGAGAUAGGUUGUAAACGAUCUCUUGAGCUUUGUUAAAGUUUGCUUUGGGGUGAAUGUAUUCUACAGAAAUAAAAAAUUUGAGGAAACUCCCUCUGUAAAUAGUGCGGGCGAAGAGAAACGCACAGCAGUUCAAUGUCCGGAGUGCGCAUGUUUUCUCUGACCUUUACUGAACAUCACCAUCCCUCUCGAACAAGAAGACAUACGCCUCCUCCACGAGUCUUUCCGGUGAUGUUAAAAUCUUGGUUGGUCCUGAACGACGCGAAGCCUUCGGGUUCCACCUCGCUGGGCAAGACGUUGCUGUCAGGACACAGGAGUUCUGGAACUCAUGUAGGUAGCAGAUGUUAGCUGUUAAUUCAUCCAAUUUUGCUCGCAAAGAUUUUGCGUUACUGAGAAGGGUAGUAGGCUUGCAGAUUUUGUUAUUUUCUUUCAACCGUCUUAAUUGGUGAUGUUUGCCUCCUCUACAUCUCCGUUUCCACUUAGUAUGAACUUUGACGCUUUUCAUAUUGGUUUUAGGGUGAUUUGGAAUUGUAUCCACUACUGUAGAAUGUUCUGGUGAAACUGAGUUGCGAAGCAAUAGUAGGAACUUCAUAUCGAAUUUCAUUAAGGGCCAUGUCGCCAGCAGUAUGGCCCAAAUUCAGGUCAUAGGAGAGAUAAAUGUUUAAGAACGCCACCAACAGUCCAAACAUGCUCCACACUAUAGUAUCCAUGAUUAAUAUCCCCCAAAAAAUGCCAUCCACAAACUUAAGGAGGCUCCUAGCACUAAAAGAGUCUUAGAUAAAGAAAUGAUUUAUCAAUGUAAUGUCAUGGGAGACACCGCUUGGCAGCAACAGAGCAGCACCACCAAAAUGAAUAUACAGCUGGCUCAGCUUCCUUGUGAGGGCAGUGUGUGAAACCCUUCCUUGUUACUGAAUUCUCUCCCAAUGGUUCGGAAGCGAGGACAUUUGCCCCCUGUGCAAUUAAGCAAAUGUAGGCUUUGGACAUAUCCUGUCGGAGUGUAAUGUUGCUUUGAUGCAGGGCCAUUUUUGAUGGAAAGUUGGAGAAAGUUGGAAAGAUGUAGAUUCUGGGCAAACAGCUCUUCAGAUGUCCUUCGGCCAAACAUCCCAUUCUCCAGACCAGGAGAUGGCAGGAAAUACAAUGUCUGCUCACUCCUGGAAAGGCAUAGGAGAUACGUAUUGACCUGGGCAACCAGCUUAUCUUUCCAAUCGAGAUCACCCAGACAACAUUAAGGCCAGAUGACGUGGUGUGGCCUGCAGGGACCAAGAAUGUCCUCAUUAUUGAGCUGACUGUGCCAUGGGAAGGGGGAAUACCAGUGGCGCACAUUUUCAAGCAGCUUAAGUACUAUGAUCUGGCGGCGGAGUGCAGAGAUGGGGGAUGGACCCAGACCAUCCAUCCCAUAGAAGUUGGAUGCAGGGGCUUCGUUGGUAAGUCAAUCAAGCUUCUCUGAACUGCUGGGACAAUGGGGAUAAGCCUGAGGAGAGCUAUCAAGGAGCUGGCAGAAGAGGCAGAGAAGGCAAGCUACUGGUUGUGGCUUUGGAGGUGGGACAGGAAUUAGGGCAGCUGCAGGGGGUGGCGGUGAGACCCCCACAAGCCAUUGCCCUGCACCCCCCCCCCCCCCAAGAGAGAUGUAUUGGAUAGGGGGUGCAAUGUCCAUGAACGGUGGCACCACCAACUGAUGACCCUCCAGCUGACCCAAAGGUGCACUGGAGGAGGUGCGGCGGGCAGAAAUGUCAAGCAGGAAAACACCACCUAUAUAUUGAAAAGGAGCUUCAGAGAGGAUAAGACAUGCCCAUAAACCCAUUUCUUGCAAACCUGUACCGCCUCAGAAAAUCUGAAAUGAUCAUUUUCUACAAAAGGCCAUUGUGGGCUGUUUCUCUGCUAGAAAUCAAUGAUUCUCCCAAAUCUCCUUGAACAAGGCUGACUGCGUGAGGCAGAUCGAAGAGCACAAUAGACUUUCAACAACAGAGCUGUUCUAGCCAGGGACUUGGAUUUUUUGAGUUAAGAUAUCUUUUGACAUUGUUUUUUAUUAACAAGAAGAGCUGGAGAAAGUGUUUUUUUUUUCUUCACAGAUCUAAAUGUCUGCUCGUUUUGCAUCACUGUUUUCACCUCGCAUACUAUGUCCUUCUUAAUUAUGAAACAGCACCAAUGGCCAUUUUAAUUUAAUGCUUUAAUAGUUUGUAUGUGCAAAAUUAAAUGAAAAUAUUAUUUGCUGCAUUUAAUCACACUGAUGACGUGCCAUGCUGGAUGCAGACUUGCUGCUGUGGCGUCUGUUUGUCGAUCUGUUUGACUGCAUUGCUCAUUUAGGUCAAGUGCGCGGUGUAAUCAAUGAUGCCUCUGGGCAGACGAGUCAAAGGCGAUAUUUUACUUUAGAGGAAAAAAGAACAGAGAGAAAGAUCAAAGCCUGGCAUGGAAAAGCGGUCCACUGGCCUUGGCUUUGAACUUCGUGCUGAUAUAAGUCCAUCCCUCCACUAACAGAAAAAAACUACAACAGUGAAAUAACAAUAAUCAUACAUGUCCUACAGCAUGCUAAAUAAUAAGACUUGAAGGGGUCAUAUAAAGUGAUUAAAACUUAUCCUUUCUCUUUGGAGUGUUACAAGCUCUUGGUGCAUGAAGAAUAUCUGUAAAGUUGCAUAAAGACUAAUGUCUCAAAUACAUGGAGAUAUUCUUUAUAACAGUUAAGACUCUGCCACACCCCCUUUAUUUUCUAUUUUAUUAUUUUUUAUUUAUUUUCACAGUUAUACAGUUUACACUUGAAGCACCAUGAGGAUAAAGGAUUAGUUCACCCAAAAUGUUUAUUUCUGUCCUAAUUUACUCACACUCGUUCCAACACUUUUCAUCCUGUGGCACACACACACAAAGAUAUUUUGAAGAAUGUUG